GCAUGAAAAGGCUUAUUAUAAGUGCAUAAACAAACCAGCUGGGCAGGACUCUCCAAGAAAAGCAGCAGAUUCACUGGACGGUCCAGCAUGGCUGGGAACAUGCCAAUCUCUUGGGGGAUGGUUACAGACUAUUUCCUUCCGAAUGUUCUCACUGAAAGACUUCUUGUCUUACAUCUUAAUGAACAAAGUGCCCUGGCUCUCCUGGUGCUAAUGCUGCUGGUAAGUGCUUGGCUGACCCCUCUCCUACUCCUCUCUCUUUGAUGUCUGUCUAAGGAGAGUGCGGCGCCUGCAGACAAUGAAGUGCUAAAACCCAACCAAGCUUUGAAGUACAAUAAAGUGUGUGAAAAUGGAAUCGAUUCGGCAGCCUGAUGACUCAGUAAUGAGGAGUCAAGUCCCACACAGCAGUGUGUCACCUGUCUGAUAUCUUCAUCGCCUUUAUCUGCAUGGAGGGAGCGGAUCCCCCCCAUCACAUGGCCUGGUGAAUAGUCUCUUCCCACCGAAGACCUGAAGGUUAAGCCCCUGAUUGACCUUCACACGUCCCAGCUGUGCAAGUGAAGCUCAUCCAUGCAGCACUAGCAUCUCUGUGGUAGUUGAACUGGUGCCCAUUUGUACCUUGGGGCUCUAGACACAUUUAUACAGGGAGCCACUGGGCAGCUAUGGGAGGAGAAGGGGGGAAUGUCCUGCCCAGGGAGGAAAGGCCAGGGAGGAAAAUUAGACUUUUAAACUUAUCCCUUACUUUGUUGCCAGGUCUGGUGGAAAAUAAUAUCUACGUAACAGGGAGUCAAAAGCCAGCGUCGGGACACCACAGUCACUAAGAAGGGCCCCUGGUGAGGUAUGGAAGCCAUCCUAAGUGCCCUGCUGUACAGCAGGGUCGUGUCAAUGUUCAUUCUUGGGAGCCAUGCCCUGUCCCAGGUGAUGGGCAGGCAGAGGGGAAUGAAAUAAUCAAAAGAGCACAGGUGCCUCCUGUAAACUUCCCAUGGCAUUCUGGAGCAGGUCCCCCAGCUUAUUUGUCAUCCUAGUGUAUUUACUGCUCUCUAUCUGGCUUCUGCUCACAUUAGACAAGUCACAGCCUCUUGUUUCCCACUCAGCCUCAGCAGAAUGUGUUCAGCAGACCCUGACCUGACAAAAAUAAAAUGUUCAGUCUUUAUCCCUGUUUGCUGAGCCCAGCCCCUGUGCUGUCUCGGCAGCUGUGGCUGUUGCCAGACUGGCAGUGUUUGGGGGCAUCUCUGCAUUUCUUGUCCCAGUUUCUAGAGGGAAAGCUCUAUAAUGGAGCACGAUUUUUCCCAGCUUCACAAGGUCAUUGUGGUCUCUGGAAGAGUUAUUAGCAGAGGUCUGAAUGGGAAAUCAUCAGGAUUGGGAAUAAUAAAUCCCUGAAGAUGUACCAGGGAAUUGUGCUGGCUCAGCUACUCAGGGAGAUGGGGACCUUUCUAAUCUUAGGCUGGGCUCACAUAUUGCUAACUCCCAAGGAGGAUAAGGAGAAUCUGGGUCAUUGGAAAGCUACUUAAGAGCCCUAAUCAUGAAUAAUAAUUGCUUCAGUGCUCUUUGAUUCUGUGGAAAUUAAGGGUAAAGCUCACCCCCAUGCAGAGGUCUAUGCACCACUCAGGUCAUAUUGUGAGGGCUUAAUUGGUGCAUAAGUCUCUGCACAGAGGUGAUUUUACCUUAGAGAGGGAUUCCGGGAUGGGCAACCCAGCCACCCCCAAUCCAACAAGCUAAACUGGAAUCCAAAGCAGUUGAAGUUCCAUUAAUUGAUGGGGUGGUUUCACACAGCUGCCUGAAGACCUGGCAUAUCCACACGCAGCCAAACAACAGAGUGAAUGGCAAAGUGACAGCUUUCCCUGCUGCUGCCAGUUAAGUAGCAGCCUAAGAGAAUGAUUCUGUGUGUGUGUGUGUGUGUGUAUGAGAGAGAGAGAGGUGUGUUUGUGGGGUAGGGAGCACCUGGACAGGCUUUCUGGUUCUUUGAAAGAUGGUGAUGGUGUAGGGUGAAAAAAGCAGUCACUGGGCCCAGCACAAGGGUAACUGAGUGGAAUAGAAUGGCCUGUGUCAGAUGGUGUUUGGUGUUUAGCUCUAUGAAUCUAGGCAGAAUAGCUUCGUUAGGGCUGAGUCUUGCUUUUUGGGGUGCAAAUUCAACUGGGCAUCGCCUGGGUAAUAUUGACAUUCAAGUUUUUGAUCAUUGGAGUGCCUCUCUGCCAGGUGGGAUGAGGGCUCUACGAGUAGGGGAUGAAAACAAACAUGAACACUCGAGAUGAGAUCUCGCUCUAUGGAUGAUUCAUCUUUAGAAGUGACGGGGAGUCAGAGUGCCAGUGCUAGGACCAUGUGCAAUUUCCCACAGAUGAAUGCAGAGGAAGAAAAAAAUCCUUUGUACUGAAAAUCCUCUUCCCUCUCUACUGGUGCCCGAAAAUGCAUCCUGGCCAGCACCUAAGCCAGGACCAUAGACACCCGAGCCCCUGACCCUACAGUCACCACCUCCCUGCAUACAGGCAGGGGAAGACCUGGGGCCGGGUGCUGGGAAUGUGUGCUUCUCAUUCCGCCUGAGGCAGUGUUCAGUCUGAUGCUGCAGCCAUUUGCCUUACUCCCGUCUUCCCUCUGUGGAGUUACACAUACUGGAAUAGCAGGGCCUCCAGGAUGGGUGGUUCCUGCAGCUGGCUGAGGGGUAGCUGACUGGCCCUUGGCAAGCAGUUUGUUUUAUAGCCUGUGUGGCUUCGAGUCUGGGGUGGAGUUAGCUAGGUGUGUCGAUCAGGCCAAACCUGGGUGCAAGUGAAGUUGAUUCGUGACUGGUUGGUCCUUUGGAGUGAUGAUGUGGGUCCCUGGUCUCCCCUAUGCUCCAGCUUUGCUGUUAAAUGGCAAAUCAAGCACCCAUGUGCCAGCUGUACCCGCUGUGCACCAAUCACUGAUCCAGGUGAAGCACACCCUGCACUCCUGUGCACACAGUUGCUGGCUCUGUAUUUAUUUUUCACAGAUUCUUGGCACAGGCUCUGCUUGGCAGCAUUGCCAUGGCUCUGAUAAAUGGCACACUGCAGUCUGCAGCGCCGUGGCAGGCCUGACCUUCUCUCAGUGUAAUUCAAUGUGAUCCAUCCCUCUGAGGGCUAGGGUUAGAUCAGGAAGCACACGAAAGCUUAUGCUUAGAUAAAUGUGUUAGUCUCUAAGGUGCCACAAGUCCUCCUUUUCUUUUUGCAAAUACAGACUAACAUGGCUGCUACUCUGAAACCUGUUAGAUAUGCUUGUUUAUUUAAGAUCCACAGUGCAUUGUGGGAAGGGAUGGAUGGUCACUGGACACAGAGCUUGGCAUCCCCCAGUAGCCAGGACUUGGGGUGUUGGCUUUGACUGGAUGCUAAUCGCUGGGGUGCAUGAGAAACAUCCCUCUGCUUAACUGCGGGUACAAGAUGGGUGCUGGGCAAGCUUCCUCCAACACCGUGCCUGCCCCUUUGCCAAUGUGCCUCUGCUGCAAGUGGGGAAAUGGAGCUGGGGCUGUGUGACCCAUUCAGUCCUUGGCUCUCUCUCUGGUCCCAACGAGUAGGUCGAUUGCCAGGGUGGAUUUCCGGCAUGUGGACACUGUUGGGGGACACUGGACUGGGAUCCAGCAAGAUGUUCUGUGUCUGGCACCAAACAGCCAUUGGUGGAUUUUUCAGGCUCUCCCUGAAAUGCGUUGGAGUCUUUAAAGCAUGUUUAGUUUCCUCCCAAGGCUGGGGGUUUGCUCUACGUGUGCAGGUCAGUUUGGAGGCAUGGGGAGACAGUAAGGGGAUGUCAGAGAAGCAGAGAGGAAUCUACAGAAAACAUGGAUGUGUUUGCCCAGCUUCCCUGCCCAGCCCCAGGGCUUUCCCCGGAAAGUCGCCUGGUGCAAUCCCUUAUGCAGCACCGCUCCCAGCUGCAUGGAGAUGGGGCUGAGUGCGUUAGCAGCAUUGCCCCUACUGCCGAGAGUGGAAGUGGGGAUGGUGCUAUGCACGUGGAAACGUGUCAUUGUGCAGCAAAACGUCUUCAAGAGCAUCUGUGCCAGGCUGUGCCUGUUGCCCUGGUGGUAUCCAAGUGUGGUAAGAGCGAGGCAUGCACCCUAGGGAUGAAAGGCUGCCAUUGAAGGGCUAGUGUUAACCUUUCUGGGAGCUGCCUGGUGCUCCUGCCCCACGGGGACCCCAUGUGCCACCUUCCUGCUCGCAGCACUGGCUGGCCAGCGGGCAGAGGUGUCUCCUCCUAUGUGACAGGGGUUGGGGCAUGUUGUCCCCACUUCACUCCCAGCUCCUGCUGGAAUGAGAGGCUGGGGCAACAGAACUCUGCACACAGGCCCCAGCUGGGCUCUUGAUGGGAGAUUUCCCACACACACCCCUCUUGCCCAUGCUUUGCUCACGUGUUCCUUGUGCCAAGGAUGGCAAAAAGUCACCAGACUGCCGGUGUGGCAGUGGGCUGCUGGGGAAAGAUUGUCUCAUGUGACUUCAGUGGUGCUUUGCUAUAAGAGAAGGCAAAGCAGCUGGGCAAGCCAGCUCACCCCGCUCCGUGGGGUAGAAGUUGAGGCAAGAGUGACAGCCAUUCCGAGACUAUCCGCAGUGAUUUAUUUGAACUCUUAGCCAUGUGCCAUCAACAGUAAUAAGGUCAAGAAAGAAAAAUGGAUUUCCUAGGUGAUAUAAUAGACUUUCAAACAAAUGUAUGGAUGCAGCUGACCUGAGCUUCCAUUAACAUUUGAUUAACGUCUAAAUAAUAAACAAUGCUUCAGAAACUGACCAGCAUUCUCCCCCAAAAGCCAGAGGAUCAGUCAACUGCAGAUAUUAAGAUCUAUUGAUGCGCUUCUUUGCAAUACACAGGAAAUCCCCCAAAUGGAAGGGCAGACCUCAGCUCCAGCUCCACUAGCAAUCAGCCACCCCAUGCCUUUCAGGGCACUAGUUUUUAUAGCCAUUCUGGCAUGGGAAGGGCAUGCGGGAGGCUCCGGGGUUGUGGGUAGCACUCAGAAAAGGCACAGGGGAGAGAGUGAAGCUGGUGUCUGAGAAGACCUGGGGGCAGAGACUGCAGCAGGAAAACACAGCAGUGCCUGUGGACUCCUGGCUCUGACUUGUGCAGGUUCUGGCUAACGCUGGGCCUUGGCCUGAUGACUACAAGCUCUGACACACCGUGUCUUUAGUGGUCUCGCACACCAGGCAAUGAAAGGGCCUUUGCUGUGGGAGAACUAGCUGCACGGCAGUCAUUCCUCUCGAUAGCGCCCUUUCCUCCCACACCCAGCCGUUGUGCUUUGUGAAUGAUGAGCAAGAUCCGCCUUCCAUACACACUGCCCGCGGGGCCCUUCUCUCUCCCCUGCCCCCAUGCAGCACACUAGCUAUCCAGCCUUCUGGAGUUUAAUCUAGAAGAGGUAUGUGUUUAAUCACACUGGUGUUUUUAACAUGUUAUGUUUUAUUAUAUGCACUAGCUCAUGCCACAUGGCUUUCAAACGCGGCCUGGGAAGAGAGACCAUGCAUGAGAAACAUGAGAGCAAAAGGGGUUAAAACCCACAGGAAUUGCUAUAAAUAAUGUACCCAGCUAAUUUUAAACUUGUUACACUCAGCGGUCCUUGGGCCAGUGAAGAGCAAAGUGACCUAGACACAUCUUCUUGAUUAAUCCUCAGAAUAGCCCUGUGAGGCAGGAGCAUGCAGUCCCGAUAUACAGAUGGGGAAAUCAAGGCACAGAGAGUUGAUGCGACUUUCCCCGGGUUGCAUGAUGAGUCAGGGGCAGAGCUGGGAAUAGCACCCAGCAGUCCUGACUCCCACACCUCUUCUCUAACCACUAGAGAACACUGCUCAGUGAAAGGACAAGAUUGGAAAGGUGAGACACAUGCAAUAGGAGUGUGAGCAAAUUAAUCUGCAGUAUCCUUAACGUUCCUGAAUACCUCUCUUCCUCCCCACCGGCUAGAGAGGAAUGAGCGCUGAAAACUGCAACCAGACAAUUGUUUCUUACAGACCUAUUGUGGAAGGCACCUGUACAGUUACCCAGCAUGUGCAUUGGUUUCAAUAUGGCCCCUGGGCAUCACCCUUAUUUGCAAGAAGAACUACAUCUUUGAUGCUAACUCAAAUAAUGGACGGUGUGAUCAAGGUCAAAAAACUCAUCAGUUCAGGUCCCAGCCUCUGUGCACACACUGGCAUCUCAAUGCCAUGAUUCACAUUCGGCAAUCUCAGGUGGUUCCCCUUUGGUUUAGAGUAAACUGGGACCUUCAGCCAAGCAGGAGUGCCCAGAGGGAGUCACCCUGACCUGGUGAAGCAGUAAGCAGAGAGCAUAGCUAGGGGCAUGCCCCAGGAGGUAAGAAAGGAGAAUGGGAGCUCAGUUAGUGUUUCCAAUCUUCAAUGCACAAAAGCAAAAAUGCAAACGGUAUGAAGGUGCCCAACCUUACUGCCUUCCAAGGGGUUAGACACAGAACUAGCUCCAUAUGGACUGGCUUCUUUAUUCAUAACUUGUUCUUGAGCCCAGCACUGGGGGGAUGCGGUAAGCCCAGCCCUGAGUGCAGAGAUGCUGGUGGAAUGCUAAGAACAAAAGAGAAUACUGCUUCCUAUUGUUGUAAGGACACGGCUGAGCUGCAGAAAGCGCAUAGUAGGGGAGGUCAAGACCAGUGUAUGCUCAUCAGAAUUUCAUGACAUCUUGGGAAAUGGGGUGCAACACAGUUUGCAUCCUUUCAGCUCCCUCCCCCUCCAUGUGGGAAAUAGUCAUGGUAAAGUAGCCUUCUUGAGAGUCAGUUAAAAGCAAAACAGACUUCUGGCUUAGUUAAGGGUCAUUAAAAAUCAAACCGAGAUACACCAAACAGGCUGAGCGAAAGCUGAGCACAAAGGGGGUUUGCAGAAUCCCAGAUACUGCAGCUGCAUUGAAACCUACUUCAGAAUAGCACUACGUGCUGGAGGGGUUUUUAUAAUUAUUCCAUUUUCAGGCGCUCCAGCCCCCUAAAAUCAAUAUCCAGGAAUUAUACUGUUGCUGGAAACAUCAGCUCUUGACUGCUUACCUUCAAUGUCAGUAUUUUAUUAGCUAGCAUAUAAUUACCCUGUGGAACUCCCUGCUGCAGGAGAUUAUUGACAAUAAUAGAUUGUCUAAAAAUUUUAUUUUAAAAUGUUACUACUCACACGAACAACAUUUGCAAUUACAUGAAUUCUGCUUUCAGGACCUCACACUGCAAAACCUUCAGUGUGCAAGAUGGCAAUUUUAGUAGCUGGGGAAAGGAAUAUGCUCCAAUAUUACUGUGAUAGGUAUCCUAGACAGAUAUUAUCCUGCUAUGGUCACUGUAUUCUCUCACUGUUCCAGUCUGUCCUCAAGACCUCACCUGUGAAUCUACAAGAAAUUAGCCAGCUAAUAAUCACUAGGAAGCAGGGAUGGUUUAUGCAAAGCAUACUGGCCAUCACCCUGCAGGAAUGGUACAUCCUCUUCCACGCACCCUCUGCUCAUUAUUUGUCUUCCACACCAAGCCAGUCAAGCUGCUGCAAUUGUGUGCCAAACAUUAAUGUGCUAAACACAAUUACAAUGCAUCAACCUUUCCAAGGAGCUUCCUGACCAAAUACACAAAGAUGCACUGGCUGCACAGCCAGAACCUUUGAACAUCACAUGCUGACCAAAGUGUGCACAGGAUCUGAGGGAACAAUUGUAAAUGUCUAUACAAUAUUGAGAGGCAUAUCUUACAAGACUGCUCUAGCACAAAGAGAAUGUGCUGUAGAAAGCACAGUAAAUGGACACCCCGAGACAUGGCGUCUGAACUCCAAGCUGCCAGAGCAGAUGUGUUGGCUGUCGGUCUGUUGCCAGUCACCUCGUUAGUGUUUACAAAAUGGCCUUUGACGUUAAUUUCAAAUAUGUAUGAAGAAAACAGAAAAUCGAUCUUUGUGGAGAGUAGUUUCUUUAAGAUUCUGCUUGUGGAACAUGAAGGAGUAUCUGAUGCAAAGCAGUUGGCAGGGUGGCCGUAUUGUGAGGUUGGCACAAUGAAUGUAUUUAACAGGGGGGUGAAUGCUCAAUUCAGAAAGUUAACUAAGUUGUAGUUACCGCUGAAGUGUGCGAGCCUUCGCUAUUCCCUGGGGGUAAGCCUGUUCCUCCCACAGUGUGUGCAGCUAUCCGGCUCGAGAACUGCAAAGGCCCCUCCGCAAGGCAAAGACCUAACAGCAGGGAAUAUAUUACAAGGAAGACAGGAGUGCCACAGAAAGGGCAGUCGACACCAUGCUUCCUUCUGGAUGCCCCUGGCUCACAGAUGGUGGGGCCUGGACAUUUCACCAGGGUGCCUCCAUUUCUGGGUGCCCAGCCGGAGAUGCCUUAGGUCUGAUUUUCAGAGGUGUGAGGACCUGAAGCUCCAAUGGACUUAGUUAUGGGUACUCAGCACCUUGCACUGGGGAUAUGGAAACAAACAAACUAAAUGGUGGUGAUAUUUUUUCUGUAGCCUUCAUGUGUCACCACCUAGGAUGCACUCAGUGCUCUAGGAAUGCAGCUUGAGGCCUGCACUUCGCAAGAGUUUGUGCAAAAUAACACAGCCUCCCCAAGGAGUGCCAUGAGUGAUCUCAGCCUCCAGCAAGCUCAAAAUGCCAGGGCCAGGUUCAAAGAACAGGGCCAAAUGAGUUAUAUUCUCUCACUGAUUUCAGAUUGCUGAAGUCAAAUCAGCUAAAAUAGUGGAGGAUUGUAGCAGGUCUGUGAGAAAGAAAGAAAAUAACCCAUGCUAUAAAGUAAUUCCUUAAGUUGGAAAUUCACCCCAGUGCCAGGCCCAGACACCACUUAAGCCCUCCAGAGAGGCCUUAAGUGAGACUGAAGGAUACAUCAGCCUUCUGUGGGCCCCAUGCAAUGGUUGAAUUUCACCCCAAUGAAAAACAACUGAUUCAGUGGGCCAUUAUUGACCAGAAAGAGUGCUCAGCUUGGAGUGAGCAGCCUUGUGUUAGCUCUUGAGCUGGAGGAACCACGGGGGUCUUUUGAUUGCUUUAGUAAUCAGGAUAAAACAUGAACCAAAACAACUCCUCAGUGCAGGUCAAACGGUUAAGGCCUCUGAGCUUUGGCAAUAAUCGCUUGAAAACCACUGGUGCUGCACAGCAUCCAUUCUCACCUCAUUACAGAUUUGCUUAUAAAUCCUUAUACUUUGUAACUUUUACUUUGCCUGUAUUGAAAUUGUGUCUUGUGGCUGGCUCUGAGGCUCAAUGACUACUCCUAAUGGAGCUGUAAAAGGGAUAUAGAUAUUAGGCCCUGUCACAGCUCAAUGUAAGGCUGUGUCAACAAGAAUAAGACCACCCAUUAGUUCAGACCUCAGUUCUGUCCUGUCUUAGCAACGAGAUCUUAUCAGGUUUGAUUUUAAGUAGUUAAUGAAUAGCAUACAUGUUAGAAUAAACCUAAAUGCACUUGUGAUAACAACAGCCUUUCAGGCUGUAUGGGGAGCUAACACACUGUAAAUAAAAGGCAAGAAAAGCCAUUAUCUUGCAAUGUCUGGUUCUUACUCAGCCAAAGCACCAUGAAAUCAUUAUUUUUAAUUAUUGGAUCUCACCCUAGAAUGCCAGCCUUAAUAAUUAUUUAUAAUGAUUUGUGAGUGCACAUUACAGUUUCGUAGACAGUUCAAGUUGUCACAGGCAGCUGCAGCCAGGUUUGGUUUCUUUUUGCUGGGCACUUAUUUCUCCCCAAGCUAUCUCACUGGCUGACUUUAUUGUUAGACUGACUCAAAGGCCUUUGUUUGGUGAGGAAAAGCUCUAGUAUCUUUUGAUUCUGUUACUUAACGAUCCCUGGGAUUCACCCCAGGGGUUCUUAGAGCAGCCACUUUGGGCCAAGCUGUGUUGAGAUGGGGUAUUCAGGCUGUGGUAGCAAUCUGAAAAAUAAAAAAUGGUCCCUAAGGACAAAUGGAAGGACAGUGGGACCUCCAGCAAGGAGGGGGAAGGUUUCACUGAAUAGUUAGUAUAGCUGAGCUGGAUUCAUUUUUUCCAAAGCCUUUUUGGAUCCAUACUCAGGGCUCUCCAAGUCUCAUAUAUUCUGAGGUGGAGUUAACUUCCAUUUGUCUUUGGGCUAAUUCAAAACGCCAGCCAAUAGCACAUGAGCGAGUCUAAGUAAGUGGUCACAGCAGCGGUGUCUGUAAAACUGACCACCCCUCUGAAAGUCAGACAGCUUUCUUCCUCCCGCCCUGGUGAAUUCCACUGAUUUUGAUUAUUGGGUUCAUAUUUGAUCAAAACUUAGUGUUUAUUUAUUUUUAAAGGUCAGUGGUGUUUUCCUCAGGGGAAUUCAUUUGAAAGAAGCUCUUCUUUCUUUCUUUUUUUCUUUCUUUCUCUCUCUCUUUCUUUUGGUUAUUAAAUGGCAAAAUGUUAUCAGACCCUAAACUGAAGAAUAGAGCUUCAAACAUAAAAGUAUGUUUUAUGAAAAAAAAUAAAAUAAUUUUCUUGA